rnacentral:rRNA from 1 species
CAGUCGCCACGGGAAUACGUAGGGUGCAAGCGUUAAUCGGAAUUACUGGGCGUAAAGCGUGCGCAGGCGGUUAUAUAAGACAGAUGUGAAAUCCCCGGGCUCAACCUGGGAACUGCAUUUGUGACUGUAUAGCUAGAGUACGGCAGAGGGGGAUGGAAUUCCGCGUGUAGCAGUGAAAUGCGUAGAUAUGCGGAGGAACACCGAUGGCGAAGGCAAUCCCCUGGGCCUGUACUGACGCUCAUGCACGAAAGCGUGGGGAGCAAACAGGAUUAGAUACCCCCGUAGUCCCUGUCUCUUAUAC